rnacentral:rRNA from 1 species
CCUACGGGGUGCAGCAGUGGGGAAUAUUGCACAAUGGGGGAAACCCUGAUGCAGCGACGCCGCGUGAGUGAAGAAGUAUUUCGGUACGUAAAGCUCUAUCAGCAGGGAAGAAAAAAAGUCCUUUGGACUUUGGACGGUACCUGACCAAGAAGCCCCGGCUAACUACGUGCCAGCAGCCGCGGUAAUACGUAGGGGGCAAGCGUUAUCCGGAUUUACUGGGUGUAAAGGGAGCGUAGACGGCAGCGCAAGUCUGGAGUGAAAUGCCGGGGCCCAACCCCGGAACUGCUUUGGAAACUGUGCAGCUGGAGUGCAGGAGAGGUAAGCGGAAUUCCUAGUGUAGCGGUGGAAUGCGCAGAUAUCGGGAAGAACACCGAUGGCGAAGGCAGCUCUCUGGGCCGUCACUGACGCUGAGGCGCGAAAGCUGGGGGAGCGAACAGGAUUAGAUACCCUUGUAGUC